GUAGGGGGCAAGCGUUAUCCGGAUUUACUGGGUGUAAAGGGAGCGUAGACGGAACAGCAAGUCUGAUGUGAAAACCCGGGGCUCAACCCCGGGACUGCAUUGGAAACUGUUGAUCUAGAGUGUCGGAGAGGUAAGUGGAAUUCCUAGUGUAGCGGUGAAAUGCGUAGAUAUUAGGAGGAACACCAGUGGCGAAGGCGGCUUACUGGACGAUGACUGACGUUGAGGCUCGAAAGCGUGGGGAGCAAACAGGAUUAGAUACCCUGGUAGUCCACGCCGUAAACGAUGACUACUAGGUGUCGGGUGGCAAAGCCAUUCGGUGCCGCAGCAAACGCAAUAAGUAGUCCACCUGGGGAGU
rnacentral:rRNA from 1 species